GCAUAUCAAUAAGCGGAGGAAAAGAAACCAACAGGGAUUGCCUCAGUAACGGCGAGUGAAGCGGCAACAGCUCAAAUUUGAAAUCUGGCCCUUUCAGGGUCCGAGUUGUAAUUUGUAGAAGAUGCUUCGGGUGUGGCUCCGGUCUAAGUUCCUUGGAACAGGACGUCAUAGAGGGUGAGAAUCCCGUCUGUGACCGGUCGCCUUCGCCCAUGUGAAGCUCUUUCGACGAGUCGAGUUGUUUGGGAAUGCAGCUCAAAAUGGGUGGUAAAUUUCAUCUAAAGCUAAAUAUUGGCCAGAGACCGAUAGCGCACAAGUAGAGUGAUCGAAAGAUGAAAAGCACUUUGGAAAGAGAGUUAAACAGUACGUGAAAUUGUUGAAAGGGAAGCGCUUGCAACCAGACUUGCGCGCGGUCGAUCAUCCGGUGUUCUCACCGGUGCACUCGGCCGCGCUCAGGCCAGCAUCGGUCUGGGUGGUUGGAUAAAGGCCUGGGGAAUGUGGCUCCUCUCGGGGAGUGUUAUAGCCCCAGGUGCAAUGCAGCCUACCUGGACCGAGGACCGCGCUUCGGCUAGGAUGCUGGCGUAAUGGUUGUAAGCGACCCGUCUUGAAACACGGACC
rnacentral:rRNA from 1 species